rnacentral:lncRNA from 1 species
AUCGCAAGAGCUCUUAGUCACCUCAACUCUACUGGAACAAUACACGCAGAUCUGAAAUUAGAAAAUGUAAUGUUGGUGAAACAUCAACAAGAGCCAUACUGAAUUAAAGUAAUUGACUUCGGCCCGGCCUGUGAAACCUCAGCUGCCAAAGACCCGUCCUUACCAGUCUCUAGAGAUUAUUCUGGAGCUUCUGUUUACAGAAGUCGUAGAUGUAUGGUCUCUGGGUACAUCUACGGCUGGGUACAUCUAUCCUAUUAGCAUUUUACUUAUUUUCUAACCCUUGAUUUUUAAUGUAUUGUAAAAUAUAAAUUUUGUUGUGCCCAUUUAUCCAAUGUGCUAACAAGUUCCCCAUCUUUUCAGACACUUGAGCAAUAUUUCCAAGUGUCUGGGGUUUGGUUCAUGGAGACAAGAGAAAUAAAGUUCUCUGGAUGACCUCUUCUAUAUCACUGAGCAUCAGGAUUAUGCAAAUAAAACUGCUGAAAUGUUUGAUUUCCUGAUGUUUGUUGAAAUGGUGAAAAACUUGCUUCACCUCCAUCCCGAAAAACGGAUGACACCCCGUCAGGUGCGGGACCAUCCCUUUGCAAGAAUGCACCACCUUGCAUGCUUGCACCACCUUAGCUCCUACAUCAAGUCCUGCUUUGAGCACAUAAACGUCUUUAUUACAAAGAAAACAGCGACAUCAGAUAGCGGGACAGAAGUGUGUGGGUCUCUGCACCAGGCCACCUCUGACACCAGACAACCUGCCUAACAGAAGUUCCCUCCCCCUUCAGCUCAGAGGAGCAGCCCCAAUUCAUCAGGUCCAAUCACUGGAAAAAUGCUGAGACAUUUCCAAUCAAAUCACAGUUUAAAAGAAAGAGUCUUGAAGAAGAUAUAAAGGAUAUGGGUGGGCCAGAGCUUAAAAGAAAAAUGACUGAUUGGAAAAACGCAAGCAGAAAAAUACCAUAUCGACGUGAAAGGUCACAUCAUGACCAGAACAAAUGCCAUUAUUCAUCGGGUCCAUCUUGCGCAACCAGUGGCUCUCGGCAAGCCAGACCAAACCUACUUUGACAGGUCAAAUAAGAGGGCCAGAGCAAACUACAAAGAUGAUAAGAGCCACAUCUUCGUUAACACCAUACACUACACCUACUACUACCUCCCUGCACCCAAGAAAAUGCUAAAUAAACCAGCUGUGAUACUGGUGACUGUUCUUGAUCAGUGAUUUUUUUGUUUUGUUUUGUUUUUUUAGUCACCGUCUAGACUUUUGUUUCUGUAAUUUGAGGUCAUCACAUUUUUUAUUUUACUAUUUUUAUAUGUUAUAAGCACAAAAGAGCACCUUUUUAAUUUCAGUUGUUUUAUUUUGUCUUGUGAAUUCUUGCUUGAUGUCCUUUUUUAUCUUUUGUUUGUUAAAGGUCUAGUAUUGAUCACGGAAAGAGGCUUACUGUCACAGUAUUAUCAUUUGUGAAAAACCUCUGUGUGUAACUGAUGGCUAAAAUUCUUUUUCCCUUUGAUUCAGAUUUCUUGUAUUCAAAGUAGAAUAAAAAUAUUGAAUAACUAAACCCGUUCAAGUUUAGGCACUGUAUGGUUGAAAAUAACAUUUGUUUUUGGAGGUUAUUUAAAUAUAAUAAUAAUAAUAAUAAUGGAUUGCAUUUAUAUAGCGCUUUUCGGGACCCCUCAAAGCGCUUUACAAUACCACUAUUCAUUCACUCUCACAAUAUAUCGUGAUAUGUAUCGUGUAUCGUGAUAUAGCCAAAAAAUAUUGUGAAAAAUGUGCCAAAUAUUUUAUUCUGCUAUUGACUCUUGUUUUAAGCUUCUUGUACCCCAGAUACUGUGAGCAUGAACUCUGCUACAGUAGUCAGCUGGUGUCUGAUCCAAGCACGACACAUUUGAAUGGUCUACAUAUCGUAUGUACUAUAUGGCAGAAAGCUAUAUUACAGUGUUGAAAACCGAAAAAAUACGCAGGUUAAGCAAAAUACAAGAACUCAAAUGGAGUCUGAGCUUUUGUUUUUUUAAUUAAUCAAUUAAUUGAUUUUAAACUUUAAUUUGAGAAAUUUGUUGUGCAAGAACAACAACAACAAAAAAAAAUAUCAGAAGCUUCUCAUUUUAGCUGUAUUUGCAUAUGGGGAAAAAUGCUCACAGCUCAUUCUGAGUUCUUUUGUAGACCUGAAACAGGCCAAGUAUAAAAUCACUCUUACUGUAAGGUUAAUUACAGUUUAAGUAGAGUUAGCAGUUAUUCUCAGAAGGUUAACACUGUAAGUCUGUCUUUUGGAAUUAAAACAAGCUUAAAGUAAACCAU